AUCCAGCUGACGACUCCUUAAUAGAAUGAAAUGUGCAUCCUGGAU
rfam:Trichobilharzia regenti genome assembly, scaffold: TRE_scaffold0041843